rnacentral:rRNA from 1 species
AUUGAACGCUGGCGGCAUGCCUUACACAUGCAAGUCGAACGGCAGCACGGGAGCAAUCCUGGUGGCGAGUGGCGAACGGGUGAGUAAUAUAUCGGAACGUGCCCAGUCGUGGGGGAUAACGCAGCGAAAGUUGUGCUAAUACCGCAUACGAUCUAUGGAUGAAAGCGGGGGAUCGCAAGACCUCGCGCGAUUGGAGCGGCCGAUAUCAGAUUAGGUUGUUGGUGAGGUAAAAGCUCACCAAGCCUGCGAUCUGUAGCUGGUCUGAGAGGACGACCAGCCACACUGGAACUGAGACACGGUCCAGACUCCUACGGGAGGCAGCAGUGGGGAAUUUUGGACAAUGGACGAAAGUCUGAUCCAGCAAUGCCGCGUGCAGGACGAAGGCCUUCGGUUGUAAACUGCUUUGUACUAGAACGAAAAGUACUUUAAUUAACAACUAGAGGCGUCAUGACGGUACUGUAAGAAUAAGCACCGGCUAACUACG